UGUCCCAGCUGGAAUGAACGCCUGCACUGCGGCCCCGCAAACACCCGACACACAAAAGCACCGCCCCGGCCCACGGGCGAACCAGGAAGUCGGCUCCAGAGGCCAGCCGGCCAAGGGCAGAGCCGGGGCGCACCGGAGCGCACCGGAGAGCUCCGCCCUCCCCCGGUCGGAGAGGGGAAAGCAGGGUCGCGGGAGCCUUCGUUGCCUAGGCCGAAAGGAAGCCAAAACUUCCGGAAGUCGUAGUCCCUAGGCCCGGAAGGAGGCCGGACAGCCGGGAGUCCUAGUCCCCAGGCCCGGAAGAAGACCGAGCCCGGAAGGAGUCCGUAGUCCCCGGGCCCGGAAGGGGGCCGGACCGCCGGAAACUGGGUCUGCCAAGCCUGGGGCUCAGGGUGCAGUGUUCUCCACGAGACCGAGAGCUGGGCCGGCGACAUGGCGGGGCUGGAGCUCCUGUCUGACCAGGGUUACCGGGUGGACGGUCGUCGUGCCGGGGAGCUGCGCAAGAUCCAGGCGCGCAUGGGCGUGUUUGCGCAGGCCGACGGCUCGGCCUACAUCGAGCAGGGCAACACCAAGGCGCUGGCAGUGGUCUACGGGCCGCACGAGGCGAGUGGGCCGCGCGGGAUCGGCGGGGUCGCGGUCGCGCCUCCCGUUUACGCAACGAAUGCUCGAAGCCGCAUAUCGGCUGAGUAAAUGCCCAAGUUCUUAAGGUGCAUCUCUGGGUAUGUCCUGUCUCUCUCCUGCGCCCUGCUCUCCCUUGUCGGGUUCCUCAUCGUGCCAGGCUCUCGCCCAUUCGGUCACUUCCCCGCUGUUCUCCUCCGGCGUCAUGUUUGGGAUGCUGCCGCUCCAGGCCACAACACGCUCUGUUGCCUUUGUGUCUACCACCGGAACGUCAGCUCUACUUAAUCUUACCCGUUUGUCUUUCCACGGGAACAUAAACUCUCUGAGAGCAGCGACUUUAAAUAAAACUCUCUGAUUUUAUUGCUACGUUCUACGCUAUAACAGUGCCUCCCCAACGCAGAGAUAAUUUUUAAUUGCUUAGCAAAUUAAUGUGGGAGCCCAGUUUUCUAGAUGAAAGAAGCCAGGAUGAAGGCAAUGGGUAGAAACAAACAUGGCACUUCUGCAAAGCCGAAAGAAUGACGGUGGAGGGAGAGGAGAUAAUUCCAAAUAACGGUUUCCAGGGAGGUGAGGACUAGGGCUUUGUAGACUGGGGAAAGGAUUUGGGAUUUUAUUUCCCGUAUAACAGAAGCCUUUGGUAGGUAAGUAGAAUGUGAGUGUGUGGUGAGGCAGAAUCGGCUUGAUGUUUUUAAACAUACUGUGGCCACCACUUAGAGGAGUUGGGAGGAAAUGAAGUGAGGCAUGCACGCCAGAGGUGAUGAUGGCCUAGACUGACAAAUGGAUCUCCCUUGGAUGUUUUGGAGAUAAGGUUGCUGCCACUCUCUUGAGAAGGAGGUUGAAAGGACUAGGGAGUGUGAGCUGGGAGAGUAGGCUUGACUUAUGCAUCCUUUCUCUUCUAGAUCCGGGGUUCCAGGUCUCGAGCCCUGCCUGACCGGGCUCUGGUGAACUGUCAAUAUAGUUCAGCAACCUUCAGCACAGGUGAGCGCAAGCGGAGGCCACAUGGAGACCGUAAGUCCUGUGAGAUGGGCCUACAGCUGCGCCAGACUUUUGAGGCAGCCAUUCUUACUCAGCUGCACCCACGAUCCCAGAUUGACAUCUAUGUGCAGGUGAGCUGGCUGCAGUUUUCAACCCACCGAGGGAAGGGAACUGGAGGGUGGGAUGGCAGUUUAAUGGACUGAUAACAGCGUGGGGGGGUCCUUGCAGGUACUGCAGGCUGAUGGUGGAACCUACGCAGCUUGUGUGAAUGCCGCCACGCUGGCAGUGUUGGAUGCUGGGAUACCCAUGCGGGACUUUGUGUGUGCAUGUUCAGCUGGUUUUGUGGAAGGCACAGCCCUGGCAGACCUCAGCCAUGUGGAGGAAGCAGCUGGUGGUCCCCAACUAGCCCUGGCCCUGCUGCCAGCCUCAGGCCAGAUCGCACUGCUUGAAAUGGAUGCCCGGCUGCAUGAGGACCACUUGGAGCAGGUGCUUGAGGCCGCUGCCCAAGCAGCUAGAGAUGUGCACACCUUGUUGGACCAUGUGGUACGGCAGCAUGUGCGUGAGGCAUCUAUCUUGCUGGGGGACUGAACACCCAGCCACUUUUGUCCAGAAUAAAGUCCUGCUCCUCUGCUCAUCACUCUUUGCUGUAUAGCACUUGCAAACAGUUUGACUCUGGGGAAUGACGGGGGAGCCAACUCCACACAUGAACUAUAUCUCUUGUGGCCUCAGGACUCAAACCUCCAGAAGGAUAGGUGGUGUAGGGGUAUCUGGGUGGAGAAAGCAAUCUGUUGGUGAGAGGUGAGAAAAAUCAAGCCUCAGACCAAGGAGUUUGCCAUCCUCAGUCCAGUCCCUCCAGAACCUGAGUACAAGGAUUAAAAGAAACCUUGACUGGCUAUAGGUAGGGCCAAUGCCUCCCCCUAGGAGCACCUUGGGCCUUUUCCUACUGCUUACCUUGGGCUCUAAACUACAGGAGACUCCUCUGCUCACUUGAUCUUUUCUCCUGAGUUUCGACAUUUUCCCCAGCCUAAAAUUGUACCCCCUUCAGCAAGCUCCCCUUCAUCCACCGCCUGCGUUGGCCACCAACUCUCCUCCUAUGCCAGGGACUUGCUGGCCUGGACAAAACAGUACGCUCCUUACUAGCUACUCCAUAUACACAGGCCUGUCUUAUUAGUAGAUUUGCAUCUUCCCUGUGGGUCUUCUAUCUACCCAUGAAGACCUUAGUUCAGAACCCAUGUGACACCACUGUGAUUUCAUUUUCAGUGACUGACAUCCAUAAGAAUGAUUCUUAAACGCCUGAACCUCAGUCCACACUGUAGUCAUUCACAGCCUCUGUGGCAGGCGUGGUGCUCUGAGCACCUCCACCUACCUUUCCUGACAAUCGUCUCCGAUUUCUGUGAGCCUUCCAACUGGAGCUUUAUCACUGCUCCCGAUACCCUGGUGUCGGCCUUGUCUCUGCUCCCUGCUGGUACUGCGCAGGGCCGGUCCAGCCCUUCCGGAGGCCGAUCCCGGAGACCAGACUCCAGUCGCAUAGGUUCCGGCUCCCUGCUGGUACUGCGCAGGGUCGGUCCAGCCCUUCCGGAUGCCGAUCCCGGAGACCAGACUCCAGUCGCACAGGUUCCGGCUCCCUGCAACCCUAGGGCCUCCAGCAGCCGAGCUGGAGAAAGGUUCUGCUUUGCGCACGCGCAGCGGCGCGAAUUUCAGUGGGACCGGAAGUGCGGCUGGGUUUAGGUUCGGGGUCUGACAGGAGCAACUCGCGCUCCGCGGCUGGAGCUGGCUGCGAGAGCAGGGUCCCGCGUCGCCCUCCCGCCAUGGGCCUCCUGUCGGACCCCGUGCGCCGGCGCGCGCUCGCCCGUCUCGUGCUGCGCCUCAACGCGCCGCUCUGGUGAGGGUGGGCUGGGCUGGGGUCCCUGCGCUGCUCGCGCCCUUCUCCUUCGGUCCACGUCCCGCGGGGGAUGCGGGGACCCGGAGUCUAGGUUUCCAGGCCCCUCACACCUGCCCGUUCGGCCCCUGGUUUGGAGCUGGUGGCCACAGUCGGCGUCCCAGAUCACGCUAACGCUCCGGCUGCUCCCUCUGACCCCUCGCAGCGUGCUGAGCUACGUGGCGGGCAUCGCCUGGUUCUUGGCUCUGGCCUUCCCGCCGUUGACCCAGCGUACUUACAUGUCGGAGAACGCCAUGGGAUCCACCAUGGUGGAGGAGCAGUUUGUGGGCGGAGACCGUGCCCGGGGCUUUGCCCGCGAUUUCGCUGCCCACCGCAGGAAGUCGGGGUGAGCCGCAGAGCAGCGGGUAGGGGAAAAGUAGUGGUGGCCAAGGCCAGGGAGCUCCGUUCAGAGGCUGUCUUUGUGUCUCCAGGGCUCUACCAGUGGCCUGGCUGCAGCGGACGAUGCGUACAGUAGGGCUGGAGGUCUACACGCAGAGUUUCUCUCGGAAACUGCCCUUCCCGGAUGAGACCCACGAGCGCUAUGUAUUGAGGAAGGGUGGGGGUGAGGGUGCUUGGGAUAGAAAAGCGCUGUGAAGGGGUCACCUGGGGCCAAGAAUCCUAAUGGGAGGGAUGAUCUGGGGCCAGGGAAAUCCCUGCUUUGCAGAUUGUAGGGCCAAGGAAAGGUGGUGGUGGAGGCUUUGACUUUCUACAUACUAGGGUUGCUCUGAGGCUCCUUCACCAAUGCAUUGUACAGAUGGUAUCAGGCACCAACGUGUAUGGCAUCCUACGGGCCCCACGUGCUGCCAGCACCGAGUCUCUGGUGCUCACUGUACCCUGUAACUCUGACUCCACCAAUAGCCAGGCUGUUGGACUGCUGCUGGCACUUGCUGCCCAUUUCCGAGGUGAGACUCCAGGGCUGCUGCCCAGGGAGGGUUUGGCCAGUGCUUCAGUCCUGCUUACCUUAUGUCUGACCUCCAGGGCAGAUUUACUGGGCCAAAGAUAUCAUCUUUCUGGUGACAGAACAUGAUCUUCUGGGCACUGAGGCUUGGCUUGAAGCCUACCACGACGUUAAUGUAACUGGUAGGUGCUCUUGUCUUCUCCUGGUCUCUCUCGGGGUCAAUUGUUCUCACCAGUGUCUCCUCUGGUGUUUAUUUGCUUGCCCCUACAGGCAUGCAGUCAUCCCCAUUGCAGGGCCGGGCUGGAGCCAUUCAGGCAGCUGUGGCCCUGGAGUUGAGCAGUGAUGUGGUUACCAGCCUUGAUGUGACUGUGGAGGGUCUCAAUGGACAGCUGCCCAACCUUGACCUGCUCAACCUUUUCCAGACCUUCUGCCAGAAAGGGGGGCUGCUAUGCACACUUCAGGGCAAGGUUUGACCACUUGCUGAGGUAUAGGGCCUUUGGUGAGGGGUUUAUCUAAUCCUGUUCCCAUCCCUACUCUGCCCUCUCACCAUCCCUCCAAAGCUUCAGCUCCAGGAUUGGACAACGCUGGAUGGGCCAUUGCAGGGCCUGCAGACACUGCUGCUGAUGGUUCUGCGGCAGGCCUCUGGCCGCCCCCAUGGCCCUCAUGGCCUCUUUCUGCGGUACCGGGUAGAGGCCCUGACCCUUCGGGGCAUCAAUAGCUUCCGGCAGUACAAGUAUGACUUGGUGGCUGUUGGCAAGUAAGUAGCCUCUGAUUCCCUCUUUGCGUUCUCAGGGAAGUGUCCAACUGGUACACGGAGGGAGUGACUGACUUUGUCCUGCUAUGCACCUGACAGGGCUCUGGAGGGCAUGUUCCGAAAGCUCAACCACCUGCUGGAGCGCCUACACCAGUCAUUCUUCUUCUACCUGCUUCCUGCUCUAUCUCGCUUUGUCUCCAUUGGUCUCUACAUGCCUGCUGCUGGCUUCUUGCUCCUGGUCCUUGGUCUCAAGAUAUCCUCUGUCCCCCAACUAUUCACUCAUGGACAGCCUUGGAGCCCCUCAACUCUGCAUCAUCCUACUCUGGGAUUGGGGUGGGAAAGUCCUGGGUUCCCCACCUGGCAGAUCUCAUCACACUGUCAUUGAGGUCCUUGACUUGGGCCAUGCUCUGGAGCUGUGGAUGCAGUUGCAUGAAGCUGGAGUGGGCUCUGAAGAGGCUGGGGGUGCUCCUGGACCGAGUACCCAACUUCCCCCAGCACAGGUGAUGAUGCCCCUAUCUGCUGUUGGGUGGGCUUCUAGGAUCCUGAGUAGUGUCUUCUACUGCCACUCAACCUCAGCUGGAAUAGUGGUUUUCUGGCCCCAGGGCCUAUCUCAAGGUGCCCGUAUACUAUACCCUGCAGGGUGUGGGGCUGGCCUCGCUUGUAGCACCCCUGCUGAUCUCUCAGACCAUGGGCCUGGCCCUCUACAUCCUGCCUGUGUUGGGUCAACAUGUGGCCGCCCAACACUUCCCAGUGGCUGAGGCUGAGGCUGUGGUGCUGACACUGCUGGCAAUUUAUGCAGCUGGCCUGGCUCUUCCUCACAACACCCACCGGUGAGUGACUAGGCUUGGGCAGGUGGCACAGGGCCCCCCUGGACAUGUAGGCAGUUCUUGGGCUUCCUCUGAGCCUUUUGCCUUUUAGGGUAAUGAGCACACAGGCCUCAGACAGGGGAUGGAUGGCACUGAAACUGGUGGCUCUGAUCUACCUAGCACUACAGCUAGGUUGCAUCACCCUCACCAACUUCUCCCUGGGUUUCCUGCUAGCUGCCACCAUGGUACCUGCUGCUGCACUCACCAGACCCUAUGGGCCUCGGUAUGUAUUCAUCAGCCCCCACCUCCCCCAGUGCCUGUGCCCUUCACCCAGAGUCCUUGGUCAUUCUGUUCUCUGUCCCCACCAUCUGUGGAACAUACCCCGACGAUGCCUCUCCACCCAGGCCACUCUAUGCUGCCCUACUGGUGCUGACAAGCCCAGCAGCCAUGCUCCUGGGCAGCCUGUUCCUGUGGCGGGAGCUACAGGAGACACCGCUGUCACUUGCUGAGGGGUGGCAGCUUUUCCUCGUGGCACUGGCCCAGGGCGUGCUGGAGCACCACACCUAUGGUGCCUUGCUCUUCCCACUGCUCUCCUUGGGCCUGUACCCUUGUUGGCUGCUCUUCUGGAAUGUGCUCUUCUGGAAGUGAGGUCUGCUACCUGGGCACAAAGGCUGGGGCAGGGCUCUCCAAGCCCUCACCAUUUUUCCUCCUCCCUGGGAA
rnacentral:lncRNA from 1 species